rnacentral:rRNA from 1 species
GCGUAUACAGCUAUUGAGGUGACGCCUGCCCAGUGACCCGCAACGUUCAACGGCCGCGGUAUCCUAACCGUGCAAAGGUAGCGCAAUCAAUUGUCCCAUAAAUCGAGACUUGUAUGAAUGGCUAAACGAGGUCUUAACUGUCUCCUGCAGAUAAUCAGUGAAAUUAGUAUCCUCGUGCAAAAACGAGAAUGUGACCAUAAGACGAGAAGACCCUAUGGAGA